UACGGAGGGUGCAAGCGUUAUCCGGAUUUACUGGGUUUAAAGGGUGUGUAGGCGGGCUUUUAAGUCAGUGGUGAAAUCUCCGGGCUCAACCUGGAAACUGCCAUUGAUACUAUUAGUCUUGAAUUUUUGUUGAGGUAGGCGGAAUAAGUCAUGUAGCGGUGAAAUGCAUAGAUAUGACUUAGAACACCAAUUGCGAAGGCAGCUUGCUAAACAAAUAUUGACGCUGAGGCACGAAAGCGUGGGGGAUCAAACAGG
rnacentral:rRNA from 1 species